GAAUCUCAGUGGAACGAAUGGACAACUGACUUGACCAAUGGAAGCCUUUCCCCUCCCACUGUGUUGUGCGGAGGAAGUAACAAGUGGAAGCGGCGUGUUUCGUUAGGAAGCCGUUAGGUCCCCGUGGCCGCGCACUGCUCUCCGCCGCCCGCUGCUGUCUGCGCCUCACAGCGCCCCUUCGCAGCCUGCCAGAGCUCUCGCUGCCUUCUCCAGGCUUCGUUUGGAUCCCAGCUGUGCUACUCAAGGAGUGGGUUUUGUAGCCCUGUGAGCGGCACUUGUGACCAGAUCUACGCCCUGUAACGUUAUUCUCUUCCAAUGAUUUCUCUCUGAGCUUCUGCGCAGGGCGAGCAAGAGAAAUAAAUGUAAUAAAAAUGAGA